rnacentral:rRNA from 1 species
UACGUAGGGUGCAAGCGUUGUCCGGAAUUAUUGGGCGUAAAGAGCUCGUAGGCGGUUUGUCGCGUCUGCUGUGAAAACCCGAGGCUCAACCUCGGGCCUGCAGUGGGUACGGGCAGACUAGAGUGCGGUAGGGGAGAUUGGAAUUCCUGGUGUAGCGGUGGAAUCGCAGAUAUCAGGAGGAACACCGGUGGCGAAGGCGGGUC